rnacentral:rRNA from 1 species
AUUGAACGCUGGCGGCAUGCCUUACACAUGCAAGUCGAACGGUAACGCGGGGGGCAACCCUGGCGACGAGUGGCGAACGGGUGAGUAAUACAUCGGAACGUACCCAGUAGUGGGGGAUAGCUCGGCGAAAGCCGGAUUAAUACCGCAUACGACCUAUGGGUGAAAGCGGGGGAUCGCAAGACCUCGCGCUAUUGGAGCGGCCGAUGUCGGAUUAGCUAGUUGGUGAGUAAGGCNCACCAAGGCUACGAUCCGUAGCUGGUCUGAGAGGACGACCAGCCACACUGGGACUGAGAC